rnacentral:rRNA from 1 species
GUCGAGCGAACUGAUUAGAAGCUUGCUUCUAUGACGUUAGCGGCGGACGGGUGAGUAACACGUGGGCAACCUGCCUGUAAGACUGGGAUAACUUCGGGAAACCGAAGCUAAUACCGGAUAGGAUCUUCUCCUUCAUGGGAGAUGAUUGAAAGAUGGUUUCGGCUAUCACUUACAGAUGGGCCCGCGGUGCAUUAGCUAGUUGGUGAGGUAACGGCUCACCAAGGCAACGAUGCAUAGCCGACCUGAGAGGGUGAUCGGCCACACUGGGACUGAGACACGGCCCAGACUCCUACGGGAGGCAGCAGUAGGGAAUCUUCCGCAAUGGACGAAAGUCUGACGGAGCAACGCCGCGUGAGUGAUGAAGGCUUUCGGGUCGUAAAACUCUGUUGUUAGGGAAGAACAAGUACAAGAGUAACUGCUUGUACCUUGACGGUACCUAACCAGAAAGCCACGGCUAACUACGUGCCAGCAGCCGCGGUAAUACGUAGGUGGCAAGCGUUAUCCGGAAUUAUUGGGCGUAAAGCGCGCGCAGGCGGUUUCUUAAGUCUGAUGUGAAAGCCCACGGCUCAACCGUGGAGGGUCAUUGGAAACUGGGGAACUUGAGUGCAGAAGAGAAAAGCGGAAUUCCACGUGUAGCGGUGAAAUGCGUAGAGAUGUGGAGGAACACCAGUGGCGAAGGCGGCUUUUUGGUCUGUAACUGACGCUGAGGCGCGAA